rnacentral:sRNA from 1 species
AACUCUGGAAGUAGAGAACUGGUGAGAAAGACUGUGCACUCAGUGUGGUGUUUCUGUUUUGCUUUCUGUGAAGGUGCGGUAUUGCCAGUCUUUGAGUGAAGAGGAGAAAAAAGAGUUGCAGGUGUUCAGUGCUCAGCGGAAGAAAGAAGCACUGGGAAGAGGAACAAUUAAGCUUCUGUCCAGAGCAGUCAUGCAUGCUGUGUGUGAGCAGUGUGGUUUGAAGAUAAAUGGAGGUGAAGUUGCAGUGUUCGCCUCCCGCGCGGGCCCUGGUGUGUGCUGGCACCCAUCCUGUUUUGUCUGUUUCACGUGCAAUGAGCUGCUGGUCGACCUCAUCUAUUUUUAUCAGGAUGGAAAAAUUCACUGUGGCAGGCACCAUGCAGAACUGCUCAAACCACGGUGCUCAGCAUGUGACGAGAUAAUUUUUGCUGAUGAGUGCACAGAAGCUGAGGGUCGCCAUUGGCACAUGAAACACUUCUGCUGCCUUGAGUGUGAAACGGUCCUGGGAGGACAGAGGUAUAUCAUGAAGGAUGGCCGCCCCUUCUGCUGUGGCUGUUUUGAGUCUCUCUAUGCGGAGUACUGUGAAACCUGUGGGGAACAUAUUGGUGUGGACCAUGCACAGAUGACCUAUGAUGGGCAGCACUGGCACGCCACGGAAGCCUGCUUUUCUUGUGCCCAGUGUAAAGCCUCUUUGUUGGGAUGUCCCUUCCUUCCCAAACAGGGUCAGAUUUACUGCUCAAAAACGUGCAGUCUUGGUGAAGAUGUCCAUGCCUCUGAUUCUUCUGACUCUGCAUUUCAGUCAGCUCGAUCAAGAGACUCCCGAAGAAGUGUCCGAAUGGGCAAGAGCAGCCGGUCAGCAGAUCAGUGUAGACAGUCUCUCCUCUUAUCGCCUGCUCUGAACUACAAGUUUCCUGGCCUCUCAGGCAAUGCUGAUGACACCCUUUCUCGAAAAUUGGAUGAUCUGAGUCUCUCCAGACAAGGAACAAGUUUUGCCAGUGAAGAAUUUUGGAAAGGCAGAGUAGAGCAGGAAACUCCAGAAGACCCUGAAGAAUGGGCUGAUCAUGAAGAUUAUAUGACGCAGCUCCUCCUUAAGUUUGGUGAUAAAAGCCUCUUUCAGCCACAGCCCAAUGAGAUGGAUAUUCGAGCCAGUGAGCACUGGAUAUCUGAUAACAUGGUUAAAAAUAAGACCGAGUUAAAGCAAAAUAACCAGAGCCUUGCAAGUAAAAAAUACCAGUCUGAUAUGUACUGGGCACAGUCACAAGAUGGACUGGGCGAUUCUGCUUAUGGCAGCCACCCAGGCCCUGCAAGCAGUAGAAGGCUUCAGGAAUUGGAACUGGACCAUGGGGCUUCAGGGUAUAAUCAUGAUGAAACACAGUGGUAUGAAGAUUCCCUGGAGUGUCUGUCAGACCUGAAACCAGAGCAAAGUGUUCGGGAUUCGAUGGAUUCUUUGGCAUUGUCCAAUAUCACAGGGGCUUCGGUGGAUGGAGAAAACAAGCCAAGGCCAUCAUUGUAUUCUCUGCAAAAUUUUGAGGAGAUGGAAACAGAAGAUUGUGAGAAGAUGAGCAAUAUGGGAACUUUGAACUCUUCCAUGCUGCACAGGAGUGCAGAGUCCUUAAAGAGUCUAAGUUCAGAGUUGUGUCCAGAGAAAAUCCUGCCUGAAGAGAAGCCAGUACAUCUGCCAGUGCUCAGAAGGUCCAAGUCUCAAUCCAGACCCCAGCAGGUCAAGUUUUCCGAUGAUGUCAUUGACAAUGGGAACUAUGACAUUGAAAUCCGGCAGCCUCCGAUGAGUGAAAGGACUCGGAGACGCGUCUACAAUUUUGAAGAGAGGGGAUCCAGGUCUCAUCACCACCGCCGCAGGAGAAGUAGAAAGUCCCGCUCCGACAAUGCCCUGAAUCUUGUUACAGAAAGAAAAUACUCUCCCAAGGACAGACUGCGGCUGUACACCCCCGAUAACUAUGAGAAAUUUAUACAGAAUAAAAGUGCCCGGGAGAUCCAAGCAUACAUCCAGAAUGCUGAUCUCUACGGACAGUACGCCCAUGCCACUUCCGAUUAUGGCCUGCAGAACCCAGGAAUGAAUCGGUUUCUGGGACUCUACGGCGAGGAUGAUGAUUCCUGGUGUUCUUCCUCCUCCUCCUCUUCCGACUCGGAAGAAGAAGGAUAUUUUCUUGGACAACCAAUCCCUCAACCCCGGCCACAGAGAUUUGCCUACUAUACAGAUGACCUUUCUAGUCCACCAUCUGCACUUCCCACCCCUCAGUUUGGUCAGAGGACAACAAAAUCCAAGAAGAAAAAGGGACACAAGGGCAAAAAUUGUAUUAUUUCUUAACCAAGUAGUGAUGCAGAGCAUUUGUUUAAAACUUAGCCAUUAACCAUCUGAAUCGUAUCCUUUUCUUCCAUAGGAAAGUUGUGAAAAUAGUUUAAAGUGCUUUCUUUGCCCAUGUAAAUGAGAACUCAACUGCUGUUUACAGUGUCAGAUUAACAUUUGAAAGGUGUGAUUUCUCCAAUUUACCCUCUUUGGAUGGUGCCAGGUGGACGUGACAUCUUGUGCCUGUCCGGUGCGGGUGCGUUACAGAUUGACGUAGCUGCUUUGGUUUUCCAGUCCUCAAGGGAAUACUCAAGAUGCUGACUCAAGGGGAUUGGAUGUUGAUUUUAGAAGAUGGAGAACUCCAGCCACCUUUGUAAAGCAAUAGUGUUUGUCAUUUAUGUAAGUCAGGUCGGCUCAGGUCUUGAUAGUCCGUCUUGGUGUGAGGCAUGCCUGUCACGAUGACCUAGCUAACACUGUGCAUCUUAUUGUGAGGCCAGCUUGUCCCCUCGAACCCUCUUUGGCCAGGUAAACAUUGUAUUGUAUCAGCGCCAGCUACAGAUUGAAAAAAAAACAAAAACCAUUGCUAUUUAUAACUUAGUAUUUCAUAGACUUAAGUGUAUUCCUAAUUUAACGGUGCAAAUAUUAAUGUAUAUACUGUACAGUUCAGAUUUUAAAGCUGAUAUUUUUAUAUCCCUGAAUUGUAAGCCGUUUGUUACGCUGCAGUGCUAGAUUUGCUAGGGAACCAGAAUUUAUGGAUGAACUGAUUGCUUAUAUUUUAGUCAGGGUUUAUAAAUGUAGAUGGUCAAAUUUACAUUGCCUAGUGAUGGAAAAUUCAACUUUUUUUGCUUUUUUUUCCCAAUAUUAAAAAAGGCUCUGUAUGCAUGGUGGGGCUAUGUAAGUACUCUUUAAAACUAUGGCCCUAUUAAUCUUACAAGUGUUAUUUAUGGGUCAAGCAAUGUAAACUGUAUAAAUGUAAAAACAACCCCUCCACACACAUAACCCCUGGAAUAUAUGGUAAAAACAAGUAGAAGCUGUUUCAGCGAGUGGGUUUUUUCCCCCUGCCUGCGGGGGGUGCCUUUCUCAUUUUCAGCAAGGUGAUGAUUAUCUCAUGGGAAAUGACAAAGAUCUGCUUUUGUGGCAGAGGACUUUGUAGAUUUGUUAUUUUAAGAGAGGUUAUUCCUUUUUAUUCCUUCCCUCACACUAAUUUGUUGGCCUUUAACAGCAAUUUUGAAAACUGGUUCUAGUUAUGUUUUUGUUUUAAAAUCUUUAAAUUAGAGGAUGCUGUGCCAUUGAGUACUUUAAGUUAAUAUGAGGUUCUGGUUCAAGGAAAACUUACGUUGCAUCUGAACUAAUGAGCAGAUAUUUUGAUAUGUGCCACUCUUGCAUAUACAUCUCAGUCCUAACUAAAGGUUCUAGUGGCAUCCAGGA